rnacentral:misc_RNA from 1 species
UGCAACGAGUCAGGUCCUUGGGUCUGCUCGCGGUUUGUUACGAACACAAGCUUACCUUAAAUGAAUUAGCUGGACUUCAGCAGAGUUGUUAAGUAACAUUUUGAACUCUCGUAAUAUGAAGUCUGCUUUCUAAUCGUCUUUUUUAUAGACACCAUUUCUAUUUUGGCCUCAAAUCAGGUAGGACUACCCGCUGAACUUAA